GAGUAUAGCUCAGUGGUAGAGCACCUGCCUGAUAUGCAAGAGGCCCUGGGUUUGAUUCCCAGCACUGCCA